CAAGUCGAGCGGGGGAGGUAGCUUGCUACUGGACCUAGCGGCGGACGGGUGAGUAAUGCUUAGGAAUCUGCCUAUUAGUGGGGGACAACAUUCCGAAAGGAAUGCUAAUACCGCAUACGUCCUACGGGAGAAAGCAGGGGACCUUCGGGCCUUGCGCUAAUAGAUGAGCCUAAGUCGGAUUAGCUAGUUGGUGGGGUAAAGGCCUACCAAGGCGACGAUCUGUAGCGGGUCUGAGAGGAUGAUCCGCCACACUGGGACUGAGACACGGCCCAGACUCCUACGGGAGGCAGCAGUGGGGAAUAUUGGACAAUGGGGGGAACCCUGAUCCAGCCAUGCCGCGUGUGUGAAGAAGGCCUUAUGGUUGUAAAGCACUUUAAGCGAGGAGGAGGCUACUAGUAUUAAUACUACUGGAUAGUGGACGUUACUCGCAGAAUAAGCACCGGCUAACUCUGUGCCAGCAGCCGCGGUAAUACAGAGGGUGCGAGCGUUAAUCGGAUUUACUGGGCGUAAAGCGUGCGUAGGCGGCCAUUUAAGUCAAAUGUGAAAUCCCCGAGCUUAACUUGGGAAUUGCAUUCGAUACUGGAUGGCUAGAGUAUGGGAGAGGAUGGUAGAAUUCCAGGUGUAGCGGUGAAAUGCGUAGAGAUCUGGAGGAAUACCGAUGGCGAAGGCAGCCAUCUGGCC
rnacentral:rRNA from 1 species